rnacentral:rRNA from 1 species
GGAGUUAGCCGGUGCUUCUUCUGUGAGUGAUGUCCUUCCUGCCGGCUAUUAACCCGCAGGCCUUCUUCCUCACUGAAAGUGCUUUACAACCCGAAGGCCUUCUUCACACACGCGGCAUGGCUGGAUCAGGGUUUGCCCCCAUUGUCCAAUAUUCCCCACUGCUGCCUCCCGUAGGAGUCUGGGCCGUGUCUCAGUCCCAGUGUGGCUGAUCAUCCUCUCAGACCAGCUACGGAUCGUCGCCUUGGUGAGCCGUUACCUCACCAACCAGCUAAUCCGACAUAGGCUCAUCCGAUAGCGCGAGGCCCGAAGGUCCCCCGCUUUCCCCCGUAGGGCGUAUGCGGUAUUAGCCUGGGUUUCCCCCAGGUUAUCCCCCACUACCGGGCAGAUUCCUAUGCAUUACUCACCCGUCCGCCGCUCGCCACCAGGGAGCAAGCUCCCCGUGCUGCCGCUCGACUUGCAUGUGUUAGGCCUGCCGCCAGCGUUCAAUCUGAGCCAGGAUCAAACUCUGA